rnacentral:lncRNA from 1 species
CGUCGACCUCACCGGCCUCGGCCUUACCGGGCCCUUCCCUGCCUCCCUCUGCCGCAUCCCUAACCUCGCUUUCCUCUCCCUCUCCUGGAACAACAUCAACUCCUCCCUCCCGGACUCCGCCGUCGGUCCCUGCGCCGCCCUCGCCCACCUCGACCUCUCCCAGAACCUCCUCGUCGGCCCGCUCCCCGACGCCCUCGCCGCCCUGCCGUCCCUCGCUCACCUCGACCUCACCGGUAACAACUUUUCUGGCCCCAUCCCGCCCUCCUUCGGCCGCUUCCCCGUCAUCCAGGAUCUCUCGCUCGUCGCGAACCUGCUCACCUCCACUGUCCCUGCCUUCUUGGGCAACCUCACCACCCUCCGCCAG